rnacentral:lncRNA from 1 species
CCACAACGGACUGGACGCGGUCGGGCCUCAGACAGUGGCUCUGAGGAACCCCCCCCAGGCACCCCAUCCAGGGAUCCCUCUUGGAAGCGUCCGCAGCACCCAGGAUGCCUACACCCAGGAAACAUCUACAGAGUUGGGGCCACGGCAACGUGCAAACAUCGGUUAAGUGAGUGGGACACGAAUGAAAGGCCCACAAGGAAAGCAUCAUGAAGGUCACCUGAAUUUCAUCCCCGGACCAAAUGGGACCGCCGUCUGCUCGAAAGUGCUGACUUCUUCUGCCUUUAUUUUCCUUGGACCCUGAUUUUUUUCAUAUAUUACCAUAUCAAUAUAUUAAUUUUUCUUUUUGAUUCAGUUUCAAUAAGCCCCCCUCAAAUGCAAUUAGCUGCUGUGAGUGCAUAAAUCAAGUACUUUCUAAGGGGAGAAGUGGAAAUACUGCUUAUCCCUCCACAAAGCUAGGUGACAUCAGUUCUCAAGGCGGGCUCACCCUCAGAACGCCCGUCCCCACGCUGUCACGCGCUCCAGGCGCGGCUGCUGAGGCUGCCCUCCCUGCCUGCCACACAUGACCGUCGGCGAGGGGAGCAUUUCUUUUUUUUUUUUUUUUUUUUUUUUUUUUUUUUUAAAA